rnacentral:misc_RNA from 1 species
UUCUCCAUUUCAUGGUCCAGAGUAGUACCUAGUGGAAUGGUAUGGGAAGGAGUGAAUCAGCAAGGAAUUGAAUUUUACAACAAUAUUAUCGAUGAAACUAUAGCAAAAGGUCUUGAGCCUUUUGUAACUAUUUUCCAUUGGGAUACUCCUCAAGCCCUGCAGGAUAAGUAUGGUGGCUUUUUAAGUCCUAAUAUUGUGGACGAUUUUCGUGACUAUGCGGAUCUUCUCUUUGAAAAAUUUGGUGACCGAGUGAAGUAUUGGAUGACCUUU